UACGGAAGGCAGCAGUGGGGAAUAUUGCACAAUGGGCGCAAGCCUGAUGCAGCCAUGCCGCGUGUAUGAAGAAGGCCUUCGGGUUGUAAAGUACCUUCAGUCGUGAGGAAGGUGUUAAGGUUAAUAACCUUAGCAAUUGACGUUAGCGACAGAAGAAGCACCGGCUAACUCCGUGCCAGCAGCCGCGGUAAUACGGAGGGUGCGAGCGUUAAUCGGAAUUACUGGGCGUAAAGGGCACGCAGGCGGUUAAUUAAGUUGGAUGUGAAAUCCCCGGGCUUAACCUGGGAAUGGCAUUCAAGACUGGUUAGCUAGAGUCUUGUAGAGGGGGUAGAAUUCCAUGUGUAGCGGUGAAAUGCGUAGAGAUGUAGAGGAAUACCGGUGGCGAAGGCGGCCCCCUGGACAAAGGACUGACGCUCAUGUGCGAAAGCGUGGGGAGCAAACAGGGAUUAGAUACC
rnacentral:rRNA from 1 species